UACGAAGGGGGCUAGCGUUGCUCGGAAUUACUGGGCGUAAAGCGCACGUAGGCGGAUCUUUAAGUCAGGGGUGAAAUCCUGGAGCUCAACUCCAGAACUGCCUUUGAUACUGAGGACCUUGAGUUCGGGAGAGGUGAGUGGAACUGCGAGUGUAGAGGUGAAAUUCGUAGAUAUUCGCAAGAACACCAGUGGCGAAGGCGGCUCACUGGCCCGUAACUGACGCUGAGGUGCGAAAGCGUGGGGAGCAAACAGG
rnacentral:rRNA from 1 species